UUAGAAGAGAGGCCCCAGAGAACUCCCUCCUCCCUUCUGUCAUGUGAGGACACACAGGAAAAUGGCCAUCUGUGAACCAGGAAACACUCAUCAGACACCAAAAACUGUUAGCACCUUGGUCUUGGACUUUCCAGCCUACAGAACUGGAUGGCCUUUGGUCCAACAAACAACUUAAAACACCAGAUCCACUUCCCGUUGACCACGGAGAUAUUGAGAAUAUCUUGGAAGUCAUCGAGCCACAUGCAGUCAGAGACAUGCAGGUGAAUAACUCCUUGAAAAUUUGCUCUUCAAAAUGGAAGUGGCUGCAAAUGCUAGAUCCAAUGAAUGAUGAGAGGUGCUGGAGUAAAGGAGUGAAGUGGCGUGAUCUCAGCUUACUGCAACCUCCACCUCCUGUGUUCAAGCGAUUAUCCUGCCUUAGCCUCACCAAUAGCUGGGAUUAUAGGCACCCGCCACCAUGCCGAAAUAAUUUUUAGUAGAGACAUGGUUUCUCCAUGUUGGCCAGGCUGGUCUUGAACUCCUGACCUCAGAUGAUCCACCCGCCUCGGCCUCCCAAAGUGCUAGGAUUCCAGGUGUGAGCCACCGUGCCCAGUUGGGCCUAGUAUUCUUGACCCUCCCCUUUCAUGAACAUUUUCCUGAACAGUAUUUUCUCUCAUUGUUUCUGGUUGUAUAACAAAGUUAGACUUUCUAUGAUUCUCAGGUCUACUUACCGUUAUUAUCAUGAUCACAAUGGAGCCUGAGAGCAAUGGAAUCCUGAGGGCAUACUUUUAGGAAUUUAAUAAUAUAUGAAAUCCUGUGGUAUAAUCAUGAUUUCAUAUUUGCAUGAUGUCUGGAAUGUAAUAAGGUAAUCACAGAUAAGCUACAAACACCCAGACUAAUUGGGGUCAUGGAGUCUGACCAUGCUCCUGUGGUAACAAUGGAGCUUUCUCUAAAAAUAAUUGGUGUUACCAAAGGCCAGUCAUCCUGAGAAAGUGUCAGGGCUUACUAUGUAAUUUGCAGACACAGUGCAAAAUGGAAAGGUGGGCCCUGACCAGGAAUGGGGGAAUCAAUCUCUCCUUGCUAUGGCCCAUGGCCCUAAACUCUGGUGGGCAGGAAGACACCAUGGGAUGUGGUGAGAGCUCCUCUUCCCGCCCCCAAUCCCUUGCCACUCAUCCCCAGUCACCUGCCAAGUGCUCUUUGGUACUGCCAGUCCAGGUGUGGUUGGAUGACUGCUGCCCUGCUCCAGCCAAGACAUUCACUCAGCUCUCUUCUUUCCCAUGCUCAGGAGCCCUGGGGACAAAGGGCAAUGACAGAAUGAAUGCUGACCCCCUGCCUAAGUAAUGCAGUCAUCCUAGGCAGAGGACAGUCAGGGGACUGCUAUGAGGAGGGGGAGGCCUAGAACCUGUCCCGGGGAGGUGGGGAGGUGACAGGCAGCAGGACCUCAGAGCUUCAAACCCCUGGCACAUGUUCCCCUGUCCUGUGGGAUUUCACUUACAAAACACAAAUUAAAAGAUAAAAUUAUUAAGAAUUUCAAGUUGGUGACCACAGAGCACUAAGUCUGAAGUGUGGGAUCUUUCUGAGCAUAGGACCCCGUGAGACUUCACCAAUCACAUACCCAUGACACCAGCCCUGAAAGGAGUUAAUCUUGGGACAGAAAUAGGUAGGCUGGACUUCCUCUUCUUUUUGGGCCAGAAUUAGGUCAGAUCUAGACUCUAGGGUAUUGGGAAGCCUGUAAUGACUUUCAUUGUAUGGUGGGAGGACAAGGAGGGAGGCAGGUUGACAUCGUUAAGAGACCCUUAGACACAUCUAAGCUUAUGCUAUAGUUAGGCAAACCUAGGCUGUGCUUGUGAUGGCAUGACCCAGAGGGAAGGAGUGUUCUCUCCCUGACAGAAUAGGGUCUGGGUGGUGCUGGUUUAAGUAGGCCCCCAGCAAGGGGUAGUGUAAGGUCCCCACUUUUCGGCAGUUGUGCUUGCAGCAUCAGCAGUGCAGAGAUGCAUCUGGGGCAGCUAUUGUAGCCUCCUGCAGACCCCAGGGAUUACAUCUGCAUCUUGGCUCCAUGUUUGCACUGGGAAAGUAGCUAGAAAUGAUCUUGUUACACAUGCCAGUAAGCACACAGAGAGAUUUGGAGACCUCAGGGAAGGGGAGCUCUGGGUAAAAUCUGGACUUCUUGUUAGUCUUGGCAGAUCAGUAAUGAUAGCUAACACUCAUGAGUGCUCAUUAUGUUCCAGAGUAUUUUAUGCAUUCAAAGAGUAUUUUAUGCAUUCACCCCAUCCUAUAGGAUAGGACUAUUGUUUUCCUCAUUUUACAGAUGGGCAAACUGAGCUAUAGAAAGGUAACUUGCCCAGAGGUCACAUAGUUUGUAAGUGAUGGAGUCAGGAUCUGGCUAAGACAUCCUGGCUCCAAAGCCUGUACUCUUAACCACUCUUCUAUACUGCCCUGUAACUGCCAGGUACUGGGCUAGUGCUUUACAUAUACAGCGGGAGUAGGAGUUGUAUUGUGGCGUAUAAAUUUGAGAUGCCGUUGUUUCAUGCCAAGAAGGUAAAAUUAGAUCUACUGGUUAUAUGCUU
rnacentral:lncRNA from 10 species